rnacentral:tRNA from 4 species
GCUCCCUUCGUCUAGAGGCCUAGGACGUGGCCCUCUCACGGCUAAAACACGAGUUCGAAUCUCGUAGGGAGCACCA